CUCAGAAAUUAUUAAGAGUAUUGUCUGCCCAGUGACUGAUAGGUUUAACGGCCGCGUAUUAGUGCUAAGGUAGCAUAAUAAUUUGCCUUUUUAUUGAAGGCUAGUAUGAAUGGCAUAACGAAGCUUAACUGUCUCUAACUAUAUAAAAAAAAUUAGUAAAAAAGUGAAAAAACUUUUUUAUUAUUGAAGGACGAAAAGACCCUAUAGAGCUUUAAUAUAAUUAGUAAAUUAAGUUUAAAGAAAAAACUAUAUUAACUUAUAUAUUUUUAUUGGGGCAAUAGAAAAAAAAUUUAAUACGUAAUUUUGUUAUAACAAACAAAAAAAACCUCAAAGAGAAUAAAUAUAAGCUACCUUAGGGAUAACAGCGUAAUCUUACCAGAGAGACCUAAUCAAAGGAAAGGUUUACGACCUCGAUGUUGGACUAAGAAAACCUAAAGGUGUGGAAGUCUUUAAAAGUUGGCCUGUUCGGCCAUUAA
rnacentral:rRNA from 1 species